CCGGCGAACCCGUAAGGAAGACACAAACGAGUAAUUUAUUGCUCACAUAAAUCUUCUGGAAAAGUCCCCGGACACUUAGCAGAGAUGUUAAGUUUAACACUGAAACAAUGCCUCAUUGUCGCCUUAAUGGCUAAGACCGUAAGAGAGCCAGCGAUAGAGGCAUCAUUUGGUCUAAGCAAAGUCAUUCGGGUGGUUGGUGUCAGCGCCAUCUCAACGGGGCUUAACGUCG
rnacentral:RNase_MRP_RNA from 1 species